rnacentral:rRNA from 1 species
GAUGAACGCUGGCGGCGUGCUUAACACAUGCAAGUCGAGCGGAGUGAAUCAAGAGCUUGCUUUUGAUUGACUUAGCGGCGGACGGGUGAGUAACGUGUGGGCAACCUGCCUCAUACAGGGGAAUAAUCACCGGAAACGGUGACUAAUACCGCAUGUGGCGUAUUGAAGGCAUCUUCGAUACGAGAAAGGAGGAAUCCGGUAUGAGAUGGGCCCGCAUCUGAUUAGCUAGUUGGUGAGAUAACAGCCCCACCAAGGCGACCAUCAGUAGCCGACCUGAGAGGGUGACCGGCCACAUUGGGACUGAGACACGGCCCAAACUCCUACGGGAGGCAGCAGUGGGGAAUAUUGCACAAUGGGGGGAACCCUGAUGCAGCAACGCCGCGUGAAGGAAGACGGUUUUCGGAUUGUAAACUUCUAUCAAUAGGGAAGAAAGAGAUGACGGUACCUAAAUAAGAAGCCCCGGCUAACUACGUGCCAGCAGCCGCGGUAAUACGUAGGGGGCAAGCGUUAUCCGGAAUUACUGGGCGUAAAGCGCACGCAGGCGGUUUGUUAAGUCAGAUGUGAAAUCCCCGGGCUCAACCUGGGAACUGCAUCUGAUACUGGCAAGCUUGAGCCUCGUAGAGGGGGGUAGAAUUCCAGGUGUAGCGGUGAAAUGCGUAGAGAUCUGGAGGAAUACCGGUGGCGAAGGCGGCCCCCUGGACGAAGACUGACGCUCAGGUGCGAAAGCGUGGGGAGCAAACAGGAUUAGAUACCCUGGUAGUCCACGCCGUAAACGAUGUCGACUUGGAGGUUGUGCCCUUGAGGCGUGGCUUCCGGAGCUAACGCGUUAAGUCGACCGCCUGGGGAGUACGGCCGCAAGGUUAAAACUCAAAUGAAUUGACGGGGGCCCGCACAAGCGGUGGAGCAUGUGGUUUAAUUCGAUGCAACGCGAAGAACCUUACCUGGUCUUGACAUCCACGGAAGUUUUCAGAGAUGAGAAUGUGCCUUCGGGAACCGUGAGACAGGUGCUGCAUGGCUGUCGUCAGCUCGUGUUGUGAAAUGUUGGGUUAAGUCCCGCAACGAGCGCAACCCUUAUCCUUUGUUGCCAGCGGUCCGGCCGGGAACUCAAAGGAGACUGCCAGUGAUAAACUGGAGGAAGGUGGGGAUGACGUCAAGUCAUCAUGGCCCUUACGACCAGGGCUACACACGUGCUACAAUGGCGCAUACAAAGAGAAGCGACCUCGCGAGAGCAAGCGGACCUCAUAAAGUGCGUCGUAGUCCGGAUUGGAGUCUGCAACUCGACUCCAUGAAGUCGGAAUCGCUAGUAAUCGUGGAUCAGAAUGCCACGGUGAAUACGUUCCCGGGCCUUGUACACACCGCCCGUCACACCAUGGGAGUGGGUUGCAAAAGAAGUAGGUAGCUUAACCUUCGGGAGGGCGCUUACCACUUUGUGAUUCAUGACUGGGGUG